AAAUCCUGCCCACUUCUUUGCAUUGUCACACAUGCUUCAGUGCUCUGAGAGUGUUUAUAGUGCUGUGAGUUUAACACUUCAUGACUGAGAGCAGAACAGAACACAAUCUUCAUCAUCACACAAGACAAAAGAACAACAAUGAACAAAAUCACCUUCUUCAUCUGGACUCUCACACUGUUUAUUCAGGAAUCCAGAGGAGUGACUCUGACUCAACCUGAAGUUAAAACUGUCCAACAGGGUCAAACAGCUACAAUAGAGUGUCAUAUAGAUGUAGGAAUAUACGAUGAUCGUUUAGCCUGGUAUCAGCAGAAACCUGGAGAAGCUCCUAAACUCCUGAUUUAUUGGAUCAACAGACUCCAGUCAGGAACUCCAUCUAGAUUCAGUGGCAGUGGAACAGCAAAUACUGGACGAGAUUUCACUCUGACCAUCAGUGGAGUCCAGACUGAAGAUACAGGAGAUUAUUACUGUCAGAGUGAACACUAUAUCAACAGUAAAUAUGUGUUCACACAGUGAUAAAGAGUGGUACAAAAACCUCGGUCAGUCAGACGUCACAGUGAUGCACUGAUACAGCUGAGAGAUACUGCAGCUGCUGAUGGAGGAUCACAAACAACACAAUGGAUUGAAAGAAGCGGUUUCUUUCUCCAGUGGUUGUGGAAAAAUAUGCAUACUAACUGAUCAGAUUUAGUCUGAAAGCCCACUAUGAGUACACCAGCA